rnacentral:tRNA from 1 species
GCGGGCGUGGCGGAAUGGUAGACGCCGGGGACUUAAAAUCCCCUGUCCCUUAUGUGACGUGUGGGUUCGAGUCCCACCGCCCGCA